AGCGGAACUGUUUGAGAUUACAUCAAGAGCAGUUUAGCGGCAGACGAGUGAGUAACACGUAAGCAAUCUACCCUCGAAUGGCGGAUAACUAGCCGAAAGGUUAGCUAAUACGCCGUAUUCUCCUUGGAAGGCAUCUUCUGAGGAGGAGAGACCCGCAAGGGUCGUUCGUGGAGGAGCUUGCGGCCCAUCAGCUAGUUGGCGGUGUAACGGACCACCAAGGCUACGACGGGUACCCGGCUUGAAAGGGCGGACGGGCACGAUGGCACUGAGACACGGGCCAUACUCCUACGGGAGGCAGCAGUGGGGAAUUUUGGACAAUGGGGGAAACCCUGAUCCAGCAACUCUGCGUGAGGGACGAAGGUCUUCGGAUUGUAAACCUCUUUUGCAUGGGACGAAAUCCCGCAAGGGUCUGACGGUACCAUGCGAAUAAGCCACGGCUAACUAUGUGCCAGCAGCCGCGGUAAGACAUAGGUGGCGAGCGUUAUUCGGAAUUACUAGGCGUAAAGCGAGUGUAGGCGGACGCUUAAGUCUGACGUUAAAUCUCCCGGCUUAACUGGGAGCUGUCGUCGGAUACUGAGCGCCUCGAAUGGGGUAGGGGGCAGGGGAAUUCCCGGUGUAGCGGUGAAAUGCGUAGAUAUCGGGAGGAACACCUAUGGCGAAAGCACCUGCCUGGGCCUCUAUUGACGCUAAGACUCGAAAGCUGGGGGAGCAAACAGGAUUAGAUACCCUGGUAGUCCCAGCUGUAAACGAUGGCAACUAGAUGUGGGAGGUAUCGACCCCUUCCGUGUCGUCGCUAACGC
rnacentral:rRNA from 1 species